CACAGCCGCGGUAAACGUAGGCGCAAGCUUUUCCGAAUUAUGGGCGUAAAGCGUAUUAGGCGUUUUUUAAGUCGGAUGGAAAGCCCGGGUUCAACCGGGAGGGUCAUUGAACUGGAAACUUGGGUGCAGAAGAGGAAUGGGAUUUCCAUGUGUAGCGGUGAAAUGCGCAGAUAUAUGGGGACACACCAGUGGCGAAGGCGACUUUUGGUCUGUAACUGACGCUGAUGUGAGAAAGCGUGGGGAUCAAACAGGAUUAGAUCCCGUGGUAGUCCACGCUGUACGCGAUGAGUGCUAAGUGUUAGGCGGUUUCCGCCCUUUAGUGCUGCAGCUAACGCAUUAAGCACUCCCCCUGGGGAGUACGCCCGCAAGGUUGAAAUUCAAAGGAAUUGACGGGGACCCGCCCAAGCGGUGGACCAUGUGGUUUAAUUGGAAGCAACGCGAAGACCCUUCCCAAAUCUUGCCAUCCUCUGACCCCUUUAGAGAUAGAGUUUUCCCCUUCGGGGGACAGAGUGACAGGUGGUGCAUGGUUGUCGUCAGCUCGUGUCGUGAGAUGUUGGGUUAAGUCCCGCAACGAGCGCAACCCUUAAGCUUAGUUGCCAUCAUUAAGUUGGGCACUCUAAGUUGACUGCCGGUGACAAACCGGAGGAAGGUGGGGAUGACGUCAAAUCAUCAUGCCCCUUAUGAUUUGGGCUACACCCGUGCUCCAAUGGACAAUACAAAGGGUAGCGAAACCGGGAGGUCAAGCAAAUCCCAUAAAGUUGUUCUCAGUUCGGAUUGUAGUCUGCAACUCGCCUAUAUGAAGCUGGAAUCGUUAGUAAUCGUAGAUCAGCAUGCUACGGUGAAUACGUUCCCGGGUCUUGUACACACCGCCCGUCACACCACGAGAGUUUGUAACACCCGAAGCCGGUGGCAGUAACCAUUGGAGCUAGCCGUCGAA
rnacentral:rRNA from 1 species